rnacentral:rRNA from 1 species
GAUCAUGGCUCAGGAUGAACGCUAGCUACAGGCUUAACACAUGCAAGUCGAGGGGCAGCAUGAAAGGAACUUCGGUUCUUUUUGAUGGCGACCGGCGCACGGGUGCGUAACGCGUAUCGAACCUGCCUCAUACUCGGGGGAUAGCCUUGCGAAAGUAAGAUUAAUACCCGGCGGUCUCGGACGGCCGCAUGACAGUCCGAGUGAAGAUUUAUCGGUAUGAGAUGGCGAUGCGUCCCAUUAG